GGAAACUUAACUGAAACCAUUUCCUGGGGAACUAUUACAGGAACAUUUAACCUUCCCUGUCAGGUAAUUGUGACACUAAUUGGACUAAGCACAGGCGGCGGCAGCAGCGAAUCCAAGCAACAGCCGAGACGAUGAGCGAGCUGAUCAGCAGAGUGGCACCACUGAGGAGGAAGCCAACCAAAGGUGAUGUUCCCCACGAUGUCGACGGCACCCAGGAUGGACAUUAGCAAAGCUGCUGUCUGCUGGCUGACACCAACGCUCACAGCAUACGGCACGAGAUAGACAAAGGGCAGACUGCAGCCGCU